rnacentral:lncRNA from 1 species
GCUGAAGAGUGUUCCUUACUAACAUCUUACUCUGUCUGGUCUUUUAUAAUUUUUAAAUUCCUUCCUAUGAAAUCCAUAGCCGCCAGUGGAUUUCAGGGAUGGAGGUACUGUUAGGUCACAAGACAAAAGGCAGCAGCAGCAGCAGCAGGGUCAGACAAGGCCUGGUUUUGACCUGCUCAAGAAGCCUGUGGCUAUGCAGAAACUUGGCAGCCACGGAGCUUUUGUGGGUGAAUCACAGGAUUCUCUUAGAUCAGAAAUAUGCCGUCUCUCUUGUCUGGCCUGAGCAUCCACAGAGAAGCUGGCUGGAGUACAGGCUGUCUGUCAAAGGAGACUCAAGCAGAGACUUACCAUGCAGGCCUUGAACCUGCCAGCCUCCUGCCUCAGUUCCCUGGAGUAGCUAGGAAUCCAAACCUGAGCCACCAUUACAGGGCCUGGAUGCUCUUCUCUUUAAACAGUAUGAUUACUGCCAAGUCUGCUCUUCACCCUGAGGCCAGAGGAGACAGCCCAGCCCCUCGUGAUGCCC